GCUGGCACAGUGGUUAAAGCGUUUGGCUGCUAACCAAAAGGUUGGCAGUUCGAAUCCACCAGCU
rnacentral:tRNA from 1 species